GGUAUACAAAUAAAUAUACUAUUUACACUAGUAAGAAAUGAUUUAAAAAUAAUAUCUAAAAUACUCCAUGAUUAAUCAAUAGAUACUAACUACAGAUUCUAUUUAAACUCUAUAAGGCAACCAAGCGGCCAGAAAAGAAAACAAUAAAAACAAGCAUUUCCCCUAUGACUUUAAGCGAUAAAACAACACUCUGCCCAUUAGUUCAAUUUCACAAUAAAAUUGAAACUAUUCU
rnacentral:lncRNA from 1 species